rnacentral:rRNA from 1 species
AUUGAACGCUGGCGGAAUGCUUUACACAUGCAAGUCGAACGGCAGCACGGGAGCUUGCUCCUGGUGGCGAGUGGCGAACGGGUGAGUAACAUAUCGGAACGUACCCAGUAAUGGGGAGUAACUAGUCGAAAGAUUAGCUAAUACCGCAUACGCCCUGAGGGGAAAGCGGGGAUCGUAAGACCUCGCGUUAUUGGAGCGGCCGAUAUCUGAUUAGCUAGUUGGUGGGGUAAAGGCCUACCAAGGCGACGAUCAGUAGCUGGUCUGAGAGGACGACCAGCCACACUGGAACUGAGACACGGUCCAGACUCCUACGGGAGGCAGCAGUGGGGAAUUUUGGACAAUGGGCGCAAGCCUGAUCCAGCCAUUCCGCGUGAGUGAAGAAGGCCUCGGUUGUAAGCUCUUCGCAAGGUAAGAAACGAUACGAGCGAAUAACUCGUGUU